GGUCAACUCUGCUAUCCUUUUCUUUUUACACGUUAUCUACUUUUUGGGUGCAAAUAUUUUGUUCAGCCAUGCAUAAACCUACAUUAUCUUUGGCUGAUUACCAAAACUGGAAAGAUAGUCUCUGACCAUGAGAGCAAGAGAGCAGGCACCAGGGUGGCAAGAGAGCAGGCAACACGGUGGCAGGAUUGCAGAGAAAAAUCGUAGGACACUCUAGCUUUAGUCCGUGAAGGAAAAGAGAGACCGAGGGAACAAAAGAAAGAUUCAGCAAACAUCUCACGGUCUCGGAUACAAUGGGAAUACAAAGACACUAAGAGGGGGAUUCAAAAAGGAUUACAGGAUUCACUCUCGACACGACUCACUUGACAAAACAAAAAGACUCCCUUCUUGCUCUGCACUUUCUCGGCUCCACUCACUCCCAACACCUCACCAUCGUAGCUUAAGCAGUAGAAACACCUUACCCUCACAACAUUUUUCAUACACCAUUACGGCAAGAGCAGAUCAUCACCACCUAGGAAGAAGGGACCUCACGGCCAGAGGAGAGGUGAACCAUUUAUCUUCCCCAGUUGUUUUGAAGCGUCGGAGGUAAGUUGUCGUCCCUAAGUUCUUGGUCGUAUGGGAAUGCCUGUUGCUCUGUUACAUGUCUCUGUUGCUGGAAUUGAUUGAACUGUUACAUGUCUAUGUUCCUGGAAUUGAUAUGAAUGAAACAUGUCUAUGUUGUUAUGAAUGAAGUAUGCGUGGAUAUGGUUGUUAGUUUACUUUGUGAUAUCCUUUGUCAAUCAAAAACUGCACCCAGAAACUUGCAGUUUCAAUGCCUGCAAAAUCCAUCAUACAUAGGCAUGUAUCCCCAACAGCAAGACUCCAACACCCUCUUUACUUACACCCAGAAAAAUCGAAAGAAGGAAACAUAGACAAAAUCCUUUCAUAUCAGUUCUCAUAUGAAGCAAAGGAAAACAUAAAACAAAAGCAGUUGCUCCCUCUAACAAACCAUAGGUCUCCUUCAAUCUGGAUAACGCUGCAACUACCUUCAAUCUCAAAAUCCUCUUUCACCUAUAUCAAACAAACACGGAGACCAAAUCGGAAAUCCCCUGCCAUGUGAGACCGCUCCCCAGAACAACUUGCUUCCUCCAUCUUUGGUUUCGUUACCCAAAGCCAACACCAUCAAGAGAAACACGAACCCAAGCCACCAACAAAGGAGUCAACCCGAUGAUACCUCAACAUCACGACACCAUUGCCUUUUUCAAAUUGCACUCGGAAAGGAAACAAAAACUAAACAGAUCUCCUAAAUUUAUUCCCAAUCCUUUUCGCUGAAGCAAAAUUCCAGCAAGCCAUAGGCCAAGUUCUCACAAUCAUCAACCAGAAACACAACGAAAAAAGGAAGACACCUGAACCACCCCAUUAGAACCUCCACCCCAACUCACGCAUCACACCAUCAUCCUCAACCUGCACUGCACAAAGUCACAGAAACAAAAACAAUCACUAAGAACCAAGACUCAUUCUUUUGCCGUUUCAUACUCUCUGUCUAGUAAGAUGCCUACGCUCUUCAUCUGAAUCCAACAUCAUUUUUCACCUGCAACAAUCCAAAACAUAGAGAAAUCAACUCACAGAUCCCAUGCCAAUUUGUUUAAAGUUAAUCGCAGUGCAGCCACAACCACAGCCUUAGCAUAGCCAAACAACCCAAAAUCUCUGCAUCUGUUUUAACUGCUCUGGAAAUCGAAACCAUUUUCGGUCACCACGACGCCUCUGUUGCGCGCAUGAACGACAGCCGGUCUACCUGAGGCAACGGCGUUUUGUCUUGUUGGUGGCGGCGCUCUUGGACUUGAAGAAGAGGAAAGGGGUUUCCUUGCUCGCGAGCGAAGGAGAGAGGAAGAAGAGCUCACCAGCAGCGACAGAGCUCGUCGGCGUCGAAGAGAGAAGAGGGUGGCACGGUGGCUGGAUUCAAAGCAGUGGUGGCCGGCGGUGCAUUUGAGAAGGAACCCCCAACCCUAGGUUAACACGAGAAAAGAGAAGGAGAGGGGAAGGCUUGACGGCGGCAACCGGUGGGGAGCUGUGGUCGACGGUGGUCGCUAGCAACCCCUUUGGUGGCGUCGCGGUGGCCGUUCGGUGGAGGCAGCGACGAGUGCGUGAGUGGCGGGGUGAUUGCUGCUAGGUCUUCUGGUUCAGAUAAGAGGGUUGGGUGUCUGCGAUUUUGAGUGGAUGCAGAGUGAGGGGAAUGAAAUUCGACCCCUAAGCAAAAUCCUAGCCUGGGUCUUGGGCUGCUUCUUUUCGUUUUU
rnacentral:lncRNA from 1 species